GGGCCUGUAGCUCAGUCUGGCAGGCACAAGCACAACAAGCAUAAUGCCUUGUGCCCGGGCAAUUAGAGCGCCGGUCUUAUAAGCCGGAUGUCUGGGGUUCAAAUCCCUGCAGGCCCA
rnacentral:tRNA from 1 species